GUUGUUCAUCUAUUUGUCUUCUUAAGUCACCUUUCUGGUUCUUCAUCAAGAAGUAGGAUCUAUAUUGUCUUUGCAAUACAACAGUGGCUUUGAUUUGUGCUAUGUAUAGUUUUCUUGCUUCAUAAGCAAGGUAGUGAGACUACACUACAAUUACUGUAUAUUUCAGUUUGAGGAAUUCUUUCCUAUAUCCUCAAACAUCAACA